ACCUGCCCUUAACUUCGGGAUAAGCCUGGGAAACCGGGUCUAAUACCGGAUACGACCACCUGGCGCAUGCCAUGGUGGUGGAAAGCUUUAUGCGGUUUUGGAUGGACUCGCGGCCUAUCAGCUUGUUGGUUGGGGUAAUGGCCCACCAAGGCGACGACGGGUAGCCGGCCUGAGAGGGUGACCGGCCACACUGGGACUGAGACACGGCCCAGACUCCUACGGGAGGCAGCAGUGGGGAAUAUUGCACAAUGGGCGAAAGCCUGAUGCAGCGACGCCGCGUGAGGGAUGACGGCCUUCGGGUUGUAAACCUCUUUCAGCAGGGAAGAAGCGAAAGUGACGGUACCUGCAGAAGAAGCGCCGGCUAACUACGUGCCAGCAGCCGCGGUAAUACGUAGGGCGCAAGCGUUAUCCGGAAUUAUUGGGCGUAAAGAGCUCGUAGGCGGUUUGUCGCGUCUGCUGUGAAAGCCCGGGGCUCAACCCCGGGUCUGCAGUGGGUACGGGCAGACUAGAGUGAUGUAGGGG
rnacentral:rRNA from 1 species